UACGUAGGGUGCGAGCGUUGUCCGGAAUUCUUGGGCGUAAAGAGCUUGUAGGCGGUUUGUCGCGUCUGCCGUGAAAAUCCGAGGCUCAACCUCGGACUUGCGGUGGGUACGGGCAGACUAGAGUGUGGUAGGGGAGGACUGGAAUUCCAGGUGUAGCGGUGAAAUGCGUAGAUAUCUGGAGGAAUACCGGUGGCGAAGGCGGCAAUCCUGGACCGAGAUUGACUGCUGAUGAGCGAAAGCUAGGGGGAGCAAACGGG
rnacentral:rRNA from 1 species